ACCGAUAACAAUUCUCCGCCGAAUUUAUUCUUAUCCAAGGCCAACAGGGCAACAGCCGACUUACUCGUCCAUGAAUGAUUUUGGGGCAUGGAUCGGUUUCGCAGAAUUUACUUACCCAGAAAUGGUAACUGAGAAAACGAAAAAGGAAGAAUUUGUUUGGCGAUGAUAUUGAUGCGCAGAAGCCGAGCAAUGACAUGUUUAUUUCUCAACCAAUUAGUAUUCCAUCUUGCUCCAUCCCACAGCCAUAACGCUUCAUCCACUUGCAAAUCCUCUCGCUCUUUCUAUUACUCCCUCGCCAAAAACGCUUGGGGUUCUACUUGUCCGAUUUCGCAUCCUGCAGUUCGUUCUUUUGCUUCGAAUUCAUCUACUAGAGCAAUGCAAAGCAUGGCAAAUCCAGAGUCCAUUACUUACCUCACGCAGCGUGACGCCGCCGAGAUUGAUGAGAUUCUCAUGGGCCCUCUUGGCUUUAGCGUCGAUCAGUUGAUGGAAUUGGCUGGUUCGAGUGUUGCUACUUCCAUAGCAGAGGUUUACAAACCAAGUGAGUACAACCGUGUUCUUGCAAUUUGUGGUCCUGGAAACAAUGGUGGUGAUGGUUUGGUAGCAGCUCGCCACCUGCAUCACUUUGGAUACAAACCAUUUGUUUGUUACCCAAAGCGUACUGCCAAACCGCUUUAUACUGGUUUGGUUACUCAGCUGGAGUCGCUAGCAGUCCCUUUCUUGACAGUAGAGGAUCUGCCUUCGGACUUGUCUAAGGACUUCGACAUUCUAGUAGAUGCAAUGUUUGGGUUCUCAUUCCAUGGUGUCCCAAGACCACCUUUUGAUGAUCUAAUCCAUAAAUUGGUCUACUUGCAUAAGUGCAAUCAAACUCGCCAAAAAUCCUCAGUUAUUGUCUCUAUAGAUAUUCCAUCUGGAUGGCAUGUUGAAGAAGGCGAUGUUGGUGGUGAAGGAAUUAAACCGGACAUGUUGGUUUCUUUGACUGCUCCAAAGUUGUGCGCGAAGAAAUUUUCUGGUCCACAUCACUUUCUAGGUGGUAGGUUUGUCCCAUCAUCAGUAGUGGAGAAAUAUAAGCUGCAUCUCCCACCAUAUCCUGGCACUUCUAUGUGUGUCCGAAUUGGAAAGUCUCCACAAGUUGAUAUAUCAGCUCUAAGGGAGAACUAUAUUUCUCCUGAAUUCCUUGAGGAGGAGGUGGAGGCUAAUCCCAUAGAUCAGUUCUUAAAAUGGUUCGACGAUGCUGUGGCUGCUAGAUUGAAGGAGCCAAAUGCUAUGUGCUUGUCAACUGUUGGAAAGGAUGGAAAACCCUCAUCAAGAAUGGUAUUAUUGAAAGGAGUUGAUAAGGAUGGGUUUGUCUGGUACACCAAUUAUCAAAGUAGAAAGGCACAUCAAUUAUCUGAAAAUCCUCAAGCAUCUCUCCUUUUUUACUGGGAUGGUCUCAAUCGGCAGGUAAGGGUGGAAGGAUAUGUGCAGAAAGUCUCAGAUGAGGAAUCUGAACAGUACUUCCAUAGCCGCCCUCGAGGAAGUCAGAUUGGAGCAAUAGUCAGCAAGCAGAGUACUAUAGUUCCUGGAAGGCAUGUUCUACACCAACAAUUCAAAGAAUUAGAGGAAAAGUACUCUGGCGUGUUAUGAUCACACACAAACUUGAUCCAGUUUUUCUCAAUCUUAGCUUUAUUCAUAUUGCCAUUGACAUCAAGUGUUGGAACAUAACCAGCUUUCUAAUCCAAGUUGACAUAAGCAAUGAAUGUUACAUAUACAGGAAAAUACUAUUAGGUUAUGUUCCAAGGAUUUGGAAAGUAGUUAUGUUCCAAGGUUUAACACUGAUGAUAAUAUGAAUAAAGAGAGGGUCGAGAGAAAUUAGAUCAAGUUUGUCCUUGAUUGUAACCUGGACAAGGGUCGAGAAGUAGAGUUCAUUCAUGCUGCAGAAACUUGAUCCCGAAACCUAAACACUGGGGAGGAUACAGGCUUAAACCAGAGCUUUUUGAGUUUUGGCAAGGACAACAGUCUCGCUUGCAUGACAGGUUGCAAUAUGUCCCCCAAGAGAUCAAUGGGAAGCAAGUAUGGAAAAUUGUGCGGUUGGCUCCCUGACUAGUAUCUUCAACUUCUUCAUUGUGAUGCUCGCCAUUCAUGUGACAGCAUUCCGAAGUAUAUUGUCAGCCGUUUGAGUAAUAAAUAGUAACUCGCUGAUGAAGCACAAUGGUAGAGAUAAGAUUAUGGAUCAGACACUCGUCAGGUAUAUGUUUUAAGUGAAUGGCAUUAUUGGAGGAUUGGGUUUUGGAAUUGCAUUUUAUUGAAUGAAUGGUUUUGAAUGAUAACCAGUGAAACUAGUAGUGAAGAAAAACAUAACAUGCAACGAAAAUGGUGGAUGUGGUAAAGGCAUUUCUGAUAUAGUUACAAGUGUGUGAUUUCAAACAGAUGAAUUCAAACUAUUCAUAAUAAUAUUUCUCGCCAAAGAUGCUACGGGCUUUGUUAUUA